GAUGAACGCUAGCGACAGGCCUAACACAUGCAAGGUCGAGGGGCAGCACAUGAGUAGCAAUACGAUGGUGGCGACCGGCGCACGGGUGAGUAACACGUAUGCAACCUGCCUGUAAGAGGGGAAUAACCCGGAGAAAUUCGGACUAAUACCGCAUAAUACCACGAGACUGCAUGGUUUUGUGGUUAAACAUUUAUGGCUUACAGAUGGGCAUGCGUAUGAUUAGAUAGUUGGUAGGGUAACGGCCUACCAAGUCUACGAUCAUUAGGGGUUCUGAGAGGAAGGUCCCCCACACUGGUACUGAGACACGGACCAGACUCCUACGGGAGGCAGCAGUGAGGAAUAUUGGUCAAUGGGCGAGAGCCUGAACCAGCCAAGUCGCGUGAAGGAAGAAGGUUCUAUGGAUUGUAAACUUCUUUUGCAGGGGAAUAAAGGACGGUACGUGUACUGUUUUGUAUGUACCUUGCGAAUAAGGAUCGGCUAACUCCGUG
rnacentral:rRNA from 1 species